rnacentral:rRNA from 1 species
AUUGAACGCUGGCGGCAGGCUUAACACAUGCAAGUCGAGCGGGGGAAGGUAGCUUGCUACCGGACCUAGCGGCGGACGGGUGAGUAAUGCUUAGGAAUCUGCCUAUUAGUGGGGGACAACAUUCCGAAAGGAAUGCUAAUACCGCAUACGUCCUACGGGGGAAAGCAGGGGAUCCUCGGACCUUGCGCUAAUAGAUGAGCCUAAGUCGGAUUAGCUAGUUGGUGGGGUAAAGGCCUACCAAGGCGACGAUCUGUAGCGGGUCUGAGAGGAUGAUCCGCCACACUGGGACUGAGACACGGCCCAGACUCCUACGGGAGGCAGCAGUGGGGAAUAUUGGACAAUGGGGGGAACCCUGAUCCAGCCAUGCCGCGUGUGUGAAGAAGGCCUUUUGGUUGUAAAGCACUUUAAGCGAGGAGGAGGCUCCUUUAGUUAAUACCUAAAGAGAGUGGACGUUACUCGCAGAAUAAGCACCGGCUAACUCUGUGCCAGCCGCCGCCGUAA